AUUAUAAAAGCUUCGAAGCCGCAAGCUUUGAGUCCAAAGACUCACUUAUUCUCAGUCGACACUCGAACGCCGGAGAAGCAACUACUCAAAAUAAAAAUAUGUCGGCGAUUCCCAGACUUCUGCAGACCCUCAGGCAGAGUGAGGCUGUCCUAGUGGGCCCAAGUAUCCGGGGAUUCUGCACCAAACCACCCAAGGCCCCAGAGACCAAG